CCCUUAGAUGUUCUGGGCCGCACGCGCGCUACACUGAUUCAUGCAACAAGUUUUGUCCUUGGCUGAUAGGCCUGGGUAAUCUUUGAACGUGAAUCGUGAUGGGGAUGGAUGAUUGCAAUUAUUCAUCUUCAACGAGGAAUUCCUAGUAAACGCAAGUCAUCAGCUUGCAUUGAUUACGUCCCUGCCCUUUGUACACACCGCCCGUCGCACCUACCGAUUGAAUGGUCCGGUGAAAUCUUCGGAUCUGAGAGAUGUCUGAUUAAUUUCGGACGCCUUUUGGAAAAGUUGUUUAAACCUUACCAUUUAGAGGAAGGUGAAGUCGUAACA
rnacentral:rRNA from 1 species